rnacentral:rRNA from 1 species
UCCAGACUCCUACGGGAGGCAGCAGUGGGGAAUAUUGCACAAUGGGGGAAACCCUGAUGCAGCGACGCCGCGUGAGUGAAGAAGUAUCUCGGUACGUAAAGCUCUAUCAGCAGGGAAGAAAAUGACGGUACCUGACUAAGAAGCCCCGGCUAACUACGUGCCAGCAGCCGCGGUAAUACGUAGGGAGCAAGCGUUAUCCGGAUUUAUUGGGUGUAAAGGGUGCGUAGACGGAGAAGCAAGUUAGUUGUGAAAUCCCUCGGCUUAACUGAGGAACUGCAACUAAAACUACUUCCCUUGAGUGCUGGAGAGGAAAGUGGAAUUCCUAGUGUAGCGGUGAAAUGCGUAGAUAUUAGGAGGAACACCAGUGGCGAAGGCGACUUUCUGGACAGUAACUGACGUUGAGGCACGAAAGUGUGGGGGGCAAACAGGAUUAGAUACCCUCGUAUCC